UGUAGAGAUACGGAGGUGCCAGUUUACUGGAGCUUGAAAACAGGUGCUGCACGGCUGUCGUCAGCUCGUGUCGUGAGAUGUUGGGUUAAGUCCCGCAACGAGCGCAACCCUUAUCAUUAGUUGCUACGCAGGGGCACUCUAAUGAGACUGCCGGUGACAAACCGGAGGAAGGUGGGGAUGACGUCAAGUCCUCAUGGCCCUUAUGGGUAGGGCUUCACACGUCAUACAAUGGUCGGUACAGAGGGUUGCCAAGCCGCGAGGCGGAGCCAAUCCCACAAAGCCGAUCGUAGUCCGGAUUGUUCUCUGCAACUCGAGAGCAUGAAGUCGGAAUCGCUAGUAAUCGCAGGUCAGCAUACUGCGGUCGAAUACGUUCCCGGGCCUU
rnacentral:rRNA from 1 species